rnacentral:rRNA from 1 species
AACGCGAAGAACCUUACCUAGACUUGACAUCUCCUGAAUUACUCUGUAAUGGAGGAAGCCGCUUCGGCGGCAGGAAGACAGGUGGUGCAUGGUUGUCGUCAGCUCGUGUCGUGAGAUGUUGGGUUAAGUCCCGCAACGAGCGCAACCCUUAUCUUCAGUAGCCAGCAUUUAAGGUGGGCACUCUGGAGAGACUGCCAGGGAUAACCUGGAGGAAGGUGGGGAUGACGUCAAAUCAUCAUGCCCCUUAUGACCAGGGCUACACACGUGCUACAAUGGCGUAAACAAAGGGAAGCAGAGCCGCGAGGCCGAGCAAAUCCCAAAAAUAACGUCUCAGUUCGGAUUGUAGUCUGCAACUCGACUGCAUGAAGCUGGAAUCGCUAGUAAUCGCGAAUCAGCAUGUCGCGGUGAAUACGUUCCCGGGCCUGUACACACCG